rnacentral:tRNA from 1 species
GACUGGAUAGCCUAGUGGUAAAGGCGUCACAUUGACAUUGUGAGAACACAUCCCUAGUCACUACACCCAGGUUCAAAUCCUGGUCUAGUCA